UACGUAGGGUCCGAGCGUUGUCCAGAAUUAUUGGGCGUAAAGGGUUCGUAGGCGGUUCGUCACGUCGGGAGUGAAAACUCGGAGCUUAACUCCGAGCCUGCUUCCGAUACGGGCAGACUAGAGGUAGGCAGGGGAGAGCGGAACUCCUGGUGUAGCGGUGGAAUGCGCAGAUAUCAGGAAGAACACCGGUGGCGAAGGCGGCUCUCUGGGCCUUACCUGACGCUGAGGAGCGAAAGCGUGGGUAGCGAACAGG
rnacentral:rRNA from 1 species